UACAGAGGGUGCGAGCGUUAAUCGGAAUUACUGGGCGUAAAGCGUGCGCAGGCGGUUGUUUAAGACAGAUGUGAAAGCCCCGGGCUCAACCUGGGAAUUGCGUUUGUGACUGGACGACUAGAGUGCAACAGAGGGGGGUGGAAUUCCACGUGUAGCAGUGAAAUGCGUAGAGAUGUGGAGGAACACCGAUGGCGAAGGCAGCCCCCUGGGUUGACACUGACGCUCAUGCACGAAAGCGUGGGGAGCAAACAGG
rnacentral:rRNA from 1 species